AGAAUUUUAGGUUAAUUUAAACCAAAAGCCUUCAAAGCUUUAAAUGGACUAAAGUGUUCAAGUUCUAA
rnacentral:tRNA from 1 species